GUGAUGUGGAAAAGGAAUACCUUUUCUACAGACUAAGUUUUUUUGCUUCUUUUCUUUAAUGCACAUAUCUUUAAAAUUAUAACAUUAAGAAAAUGAAAAAACAGAACUUUGUGGUCAGUACAAACAGUGAAUCCUGUGCUUGAAAGACAACAGUAAUGUAACCUGUAUACUGUCCUGCAAAUAUUUCAGCAACUCAUCACCAGCACCAAAUGGGACCUUGGUGGCUUUCAGGUUACGGGAUUGUUUGUGUUUCUGUGUGUUCAAUGAAUUCCUUCUUUUUUUUUGCCCUUUGAUUUAAAACUGUGUGAACAUUUUCUUCUCUUGGGUGGUGUCGUGUGGAGCCAGGAGUUGGACUCGAUCCUUGUGGGCUCCUUCCAGCUCGGGAUAUCCUGUGAUGUUAUUUCUUCUUUAUUACUUGAGUGACUGAACCAAAAUAACUUGGAAACGUGAGUAUGUAGGGGUCUGUAAAAAAUACAUGACAAACUUCAGCUAUUUUGACAAACAGAAAAGAAAAACAGAAUUCAGAAGGGCUCAUUGUUGACUGAAACAUUUUGUUUUGAGGUUAAGUGGUCAUUUCUAGUGUUUAACUCCAGAGCAGUUUACCUUUUACGUGUGUGUGUAUAUAUAGUGUGUAUAUAAAUGUCAUAUGUGUAUGUACAAAUAUUUAUGCUGUGUGUAUAUAUGCAAACACCUAUCUGUACUUUGAUCCGAAAGUAAUGCCUCCUAUUAAUUUCCCCGGAAACUACGACAGCUACAAAGAGCACAGUAACGCUAUUUGACAGAGCAAAUUUUCAGCUGCGAUAUAUGCCAUUAAUAUAAAAGAUGCAUCAUAUACACGUGCACAGCGGUACCGCGGGAGGGCGAUGUCGCCCAGCUCAAGGCUCCAACCAGGAGCCUGUCGGUACGGCUGGGAGCGGAGAGACGCUGGGCUGCUGCCCGGGCUCGGGCCGGGGCAUUCCCCUUCCUUUUCCUUUCUGCCCCGUCUCUCCCUUUAUCCCCCAGGGGGACGCGCAUCGCCCAUAUGUCUCCUCCCCGCAAUUCCCCUCGUGUUUCUCUCCUGGCUGCAAGGCUUCUCCUCAACCCCGGGGUUUUUGGAGGCCCUCGUGCUUGUGAGUGGAAGCAAGAGACUGCAGGAAAUACAACCACUCAUGAUGCCAGCUAUCACACUCUUACCUUUUCAAGCGCCCCCAGUGCCUGCAUUUUCUUUCUAUGGCCUUUAGAGUGCUGUGUCUGAGACCUGCCAGUAUGUUAACUAUUCCAGCUAUUUAUCAGCACUAUCCAUCAGCAAUUUGCUGUUGUGAUUGGCACCAAUUUUACAGCGCUCCCCUUUUUCCUCUUGCCACAAUCCAUACGUUGUGCCAUGUUUUCAGAUCCUGGCUGAUUUCCCCAUAUGGUUUCCAUAUGGGAACAUGUUGCUCUUGUUAGCCACCUUCGACGCAGCCUGUCAGCCAGGUCCCCGCUCAGAAACAAAUAAAUUGUCUCGUGUCUACUGUAUUUCCUUUCA
rnacentral:lncRNA from 1 species